AAACAGCGUAAAGCAACAAGAUCAAGCACCUCUGCAUGUGCAGUUUGGGAUUGAAUAAGGUCGAGGAGGGGUUUAGUGGGUAGGCAUCGAUCGUAACUCUUGUAAGAGAUUGCAAUCGAUGAAUCCCACACUACCCAUGAAUUUCGUUUUUGUUAUCGGGUGUCUUUAGAAGAUUCCCCUCCCCGUUACCAAAA
rfam:Anopheles epiroticus strain epiroticus2 unplaced genomic scaffold supercont1.1307, whole genome shotgun sequence.